CACGUAGUUAGCCGGGGCUUCCUCCUAUGGUACCGUCAUUAUCUUCCCAUAGGACAGAGCUUUACGAUUCGAAAACCUUCAUCGCUCACGCGGCGUCGCUGCAUCAGAGUUUCCUCCAUUGUGCAAUAUUCCCCACUGCUGCCUCCCGUAGGAGUUUGGACCGUGUCUCAGUUCCAAUGUGACCGUUCACCCUCUCAGGCCGGUUACUGAUCGUUGCCUUGGUGAGCUUUUAUCUCACCAACUAGCUAAUCAGACGCGAGCCCAUCUUUGACCGCUAAGGCACUUUAAUAACAGAACCAUGCGACUCUGUUAUGUCAUCAGGUAUUAAUCCCAGUUUCCCAAGGCUAUCCCUGUGUCAAAGGCCGGUUGCUCACGUGUUACUCACCCGUCCGCCGCUAAUCCGCUUCAUCGUCAUCCCGAAGGAAUCAGUUGAAGUUUCAUCGCUCGACUUGCAUGUGUUAGGCGCGCCGCCAGCGUGUCUCGUGCGAC
rnacentral:rRNA from 1 species